AUGAAUAUGUCGUUUAGUAUGUUAUCAUGGAAUGUUAGGGGGCUGAAUAAUCCCGCUAGGCGUAGCUCUGUCCGUUUAUUUCUGCAAACCUAUGACGUUUCCCUUGUAUGUCUCCAAGAGUCUAAGUUGGAAUUAGUGGAUGUUGUUGUGGUCAAUCAAACGCUGGGCCGGCCUUUGAUGGGUUCAAAUCUCUCCCUACUGAGGGGACCAGAGGGGGUAUUCUUAUGGCUUGGAAGCAAGACUGCUUGA
rnacentral:rRNA from 1 species